rnacentral:rRNA from 1 species
UACGUAGGCGGUUAAAUAAGUCAGAUGUGAAAGCCCGAGGCUCAACCUCGGGAUUGCAUUUGAAACUGUUUAACUAGAGUACAGGAGAGGAAAGCGGAAUUCCUAGUGUAGCGGUGAAAUGCGUAGAUAUUAGGAAGAACACCAGUGGCGAAGGCGGCUUUCUGGACUGUAACUGACGCUGAGGUACGAAAGCGUGGGGAGCGAACA